CCAAUAGCGUAUAUUAAAGUUGUUGCAGUUAAAAAGCUCGUAGUUGAAUUUCGGGAUCAGUUCGCUGGUCGUGCCUCUGGUAUGUACUGGUGUUUCUGAUUCCUCCCUUCUGACGAACUGUCAUGUCAUUAAUUUGGUGUGGCGGGAAAUCAGGACUGUUACUUUGAAAAAAUUAGAGUGUUUAAAGCAGGCUCGCGCUUGAAUACAUUAGCAUGGAAUAAUGAAAUAGGACGUUCGAUCCUAUUUUGUUGGUUUCUAGGAUUGACGUAAUGAUUAAUAGGGAUAGUUGGGGGCAUUAGUAUUCAAUUGUCAGAGGUGAAAUUCUUGGAUUUAUUGAAGACUAACUACUGCGAAAGCAUUUGCCAAGGAUGUUUUCAUUAAUCAAGAACGAAAGUUAGGGGAUCGAAGACGAUCAGAUACCGUCGUAGUCCUAACCAUAAACUAUGCCGACUAGGGAUCGGAUGAUGUUAAUUUUUUAAUGACUCAUUCGGCGCCUUACG
rnacentral:rRNA from 1 species